UGGAAAAGCCACAGAUACUCAAUGCCAGU
rnacentral:piRNA from 1 species